rnacentral:lncRNA from 1 species
AAUGGCGAACAGCUCACAAACGUUGCCGGGAAACUGGACUUCAGAAAUGUUCUGCACAGCUAUCCAGCCAGGCCUGGGGUGCAAGUCCUACAAGAAUUGAACUUAAGCAUACCACCAGGUGAGAAAAUCUUCGCUUACUUGUUAUGACUCCCCUUGCAGGAAAAACGAUUGCACUGGUUGGUGGCAGUGGAUCCGGUAAGUCGACGGUAAUAGCACUGUUGGAGCGCUUCUACGAUCCUCUGCAAGGACAAGUUCUUUUAGACGGGUACGACAUCAGGUCCUUGCAGUUGAAAUGGUAUCGUAAGCAAAUUGGACUUGUGAGCCAAGAGCCUGCUUUGUUUGCUACUUCCAUCAAGGAAAAUAUCUUAUACGGAAAGGAAGAUGCUGAUUUCGACGAAAUCCUUGAGGCAUCUAAUGCAGCCAACGCACACAGUUUUAUAAUGCAAUUUCCAAAUGCUUACGACACACAGGUACAUUGGUACAAAUCAAAGGACUUCCUUGGCUAACAUUCGGCUUUAAAAAAUAUGCAAGGUCGGUGAGCGUGGAGCAAAGCUCUCUGGAGGACAGAAGCAAAGAAUUGCUAUUGCGAGAGCACUAGUAAAAAACCCACCUAUAUUACUCCUAGAUGAAGCAACAAGUGCAUUGGAUACGGAAUCAGAAGCAACAGUUCAAGCAGCACUGGACAAAGCAAGCCUGGGACGUACCACAGUGAUUGUCGCUCACAGGUUGUCUACGAUUCAGACUGCCGAUUUGAUUGCUGUCCUGCAUUCCGGAAAAGUCAUCGAGUUAGGAACACACGACGAACUGGUCUCGAAAGGCAAAGAGGGAGCCUACUCAGCACUCCUUUACUUACAAGGCAAACCUGGAAUUGAUACCACGACACCAGAGUCACCUCCAAGUCCCAAAGUAUCUAGCCAACAAGCCAUUCCAGAGCAGCUGAAACAAAAUGACGGAGGAUCAGAUAACUCACCAAAAUCAACUUUGUGGGAUCUAUUGAUAUCUCUUACCCGAGGCAAGCGGACAGACGGAGCACUGGGGUUGGUUGGAGGAGUGGGUUUCGGAUUCGUCCAGCCU